rnacentral:rRNA from 1 species
ACCCACGACAAAUCUUACCACUUCUUGCAUAUUCUAGUUCGUUAAAGUGAAGAUAAUUUAAUUUAUUUAUAAAUACUAUAACUAUAGUAUUCUGAAUGGAUUUUAACUUCCCUUAACAACACUUGAAUACAGGUGUUGCAUGGCUGUCUUUAGUUCGUGUUGUGAAAUGUUAGGUUCAUUCCGUGAACGAACGCAAUCCUUAUCUUUAAUUACAAUUAUAUUCCAUUCGAUGAAUGAAUACGAAAGUUGAAUUCAAUUUAAUUCAACUUUAAAAUGAAUGAGUUUAAUUAAAAUGAAUGAAUUAGUUGUUUAAUAAGUUCAAAUUCAUUUAUUGGUUGAAACGUUUUAAUUCCUUCAAUUCUUAUUUUAUUUUUAAUAUAAUUUAAAAUGAAUGAAUUUAAUUUAAAUUGUAAGUAACUAAUUUCAAUUGAAUUAAUAUUAACUAAAAUUAAAGAAGUAUCUUUUGAUAAGAAAGAAUAAUUAGGACGAAGACAAGUCCUCAUGACCCUUAUGGAGUGGGCUACAGACGUGCCACAAAGAUUUCUACAAUGGGAAGCAAAGAUCCAAGUCCGAGCAAAUCCUUAAAAGAA